rnacentral:rRNA from 1 species
UGGGGAAUUUUGGACAAUGGGCGAAAGCCUGAUCCAGCAAUGCCGCGUGUGUGAAGAAGGCCUUCGGGUUGUAAAGCACUUUUGUCCGGAAAGAAAUCCUUGGCCCUAAUACAGUCGGGGGAUGACGGUACCGGAAGAAUAAGCACCGGCUAACUACGUGCCAGCAGCCGCGGUAAUACGUAGGGUGCAAGCGUUAAUCGGAAUUACUGGGCGUAAAGCGUGCGCAGGCGGUUUGCUAAGACCGAUGUGAAAUCCCCGGGCUCAACCUGGGAACUGCAUUGGUGACUGGCAGGCUAGAGUAUGGCAGAGGGGGGUAGAAUUCCACGUGUAGCAGUGAAAUGCGUAGAGAUGUGGAGGAAUACCGAUGGCGAAGGCAGCCCCCUGGGCCAAUACUGACGCUCAUGCACGAAAGCGUGGGGAGCAAACAGGAUUAGAUACCCUGGUAGUCCACGCCCUAAACGAUGUCAACUAGUUGUUGGGGAUCCAUUUCCUUAGUAACGUAGCUAACGCGUGAAGUUGACCGCCUGGGGAGUACGGUCGCAAGAUUAAAACUUAAAUGAAUUGACGGGGUCAUAGCUGUUUCCU